rnacentral:lncRNA from 1 species
GGCCUUGUCAGCAGUGAGUACAUGGCCUUGGUUGGAAAGAGAAGACUUGAAGCACAUUCAUGUCUUUAGAUUUAGAUUUCAGACUGGCAAUCAGACUAAUUCUAAGAGUGGACUGGAUUGUGCCACGAGAACAGGGCCACAUUCAGUUAGUGGCACUCGCCACUGGGAGGCCAUGGAAGGAGCUCUGACUUCGUGGGUCUCCACAGAAGCAAAAUCCCAAAAAGCCCUUCCCAGCUCAUGCUGCUAUGCAACACCUGAGUUUGCUGUUCUCCAAGAGUGGGAACUGAUCUCUGGAUAUCCUACAUAAGGGACAUCUGCCAAAGAAAUUGAUUUUAGCCUGGCUGCAGAUACAGUGUCCUUUAAAUUUUGCUUUAUUGGGUUGAAUUUCAACACAUUUUUGCUUCACCACAGCCUAGCUUUCAUCCUGUUUCUGCUGAAAACACUUGUCACACUGCAGAGCUCUGUGCCACCCUGUUUUUCUUUCAUUCUGCUGUGGAGGUGUUAUGCCACGAAGCUUAACCCGUCCGGUCCCAGUGGGCAUCUGUCCCCGCAGUGGUGCAGGCACCCUGCAUUGUAGAGACUCAUUGUUGCAUCCCAUAACUACUCAGCACUCAGUGUACUUGUGAGAGCCUCCCUGUCCUCAGGGGUGCGGUGCCAAAACAUGGUACUUCUACAGAUGUCCUGUGUAUAGGAAAAAGUUCAGUUUCAGCCCAAGGAAAGUCUUAGUGCAUAUGAGUAUGGCUUCAAGUCUAUCCAUGCACUCAAUGUGACUGAAACUAGUAUUAGUUUUGAGGAUCAAGAGGAGAUGCAAAGUUGGAGGAGAUGAGGAACAAGUGUUUUGUUACCACUGGAACAUGUUCAUGGUAUCGGUAUCCUAUUGGAAGAGUCUGAUUUUCUUUAAGUGUACUCUCACCCUCUGAGUAGCACUGUAGCACUAAAAUUCUUGCAUUCUUUCUUGUUAGAGUUGUCUGUUUUAAUGUUGUUUGGAAAAUGUGACAAUGUAGUUUAAGCUCUGAUUCUGUGUGCUUUCUGUAUGCCGUAAUAUAUUUCCAUGAUAAAGACAUGUAGCUGCUCGGUGUUUGGCAGUGCCUUUCCCUUAAAAUCCAUUUACAGCAGGAGCUAACCUCAGAACACAGCAUUCAUAUUCUCAGCAGGUCAGAACUGAUUUUAAUUUUAAUUUUCUUUUUAUAGAACUGUAUAAAUUCCUAUUUACAAUGCAGUACCUUGUAACCUUGUAAUCAUGUUUUGUUUUGCUUUCUACUCCUUUCUUUUUCUUUUAUUUAUUUAUUUAUUUGUUUGUUUAUUUA